rnacentral:lncRNA from 1 species
AGUGGAGGAUGUUCGUGAGGCUCUCUGAUCCAUGGUGGAGGAUAAAGCACCUAGGCUAGAUGGUCCCACCUUCUUCAAAAAAUUUUUCUUAUAGUCUUGAUAGAGGUAAUGAAAGUGGUAGUUGAGUAUUUUGGCAUCAGUGUGAUACUAGAGUCUUGGAUGAGGACCUUUGUCACUCUGAUCCCGAAGGGACAGAAUGUAGUCGAGCCAAAUCACUACAGACUAAUUAGCUUAUGCAUGACCAUGUACAAGAUUUAUGCUAAAGUGA